rnacentral:rRNA from 1 species
GACGAACGCUGGCGGCGUGCCUAAUACAUGCAAGUCGAACGCAGUGGGGACGGGUGAGUAACACGUGGGUAACCUCCCAUCAGAGGGGAUAACACUUGGAAACAGGUGCUAAACCGAUACUGAUGGAUGGACCCGCGGUGCAUUAGCGAGUGGGUGAGGUAACGGCUCACCAAGGCCACGAUGCAGAGCAGACGUGAGAGGGGGAUCGGCCACACUGGGACUGAGACACGGCCCAGACUCAUACGGUAGGCAGCAGUAGGGAGUGUACGGCAAUGGACGAAAGUCUGACCGGGACAAGCCGAGUGAGUGAAGAAAGUUUUCGGAUCGUAAAACUCUGUUGUUAGAGAAGCGGUAUCUAACCAGAAAGCAACGGCUAACUACGUGCCAGCAGCCGCGGUAAUUC